UACGUAGGGGGCUAGCGUUGUCCGGAUUUAUUGGGCGUAAAGAGCGUGUAGGCGGCCAGGUAGGUCUGCUGUGAAAACUCGAGGCUCAACCUCGAGACGUCGGCGAACAAUCAUCGCUAGAGUCCGGAAGAGGAGAGUGGAAUUCCUGGUGUAGCGGUGAAAUGCGCAGAUAUCAGGAAGAACACCCGUGGCGAAGGCGGCUCUCUGGGACGGUACUGACGCUGAGACGCGAAAGCGUGGGGAGCGAACAGG
rnacentral:rRNA from 1 species